GAAGAGAGCAGGAGGAGGAAACCGAAGGCUGAGGCAGGUGUUCCUGCUUUACCUCUCAGACUGACUUCAGAUCAGAAGAUGAGUGAUUUGGAGGAAGAGGAGGACGGAGCAGAGUCUGGAGUAUCUGGCUGUCUGUCUAUGAAGAGUGACCGGUCCAUAAAUCAGCCUCUGACCUUCAGUAAUGAACCUGGACCCUCAGACACAAAAAAGAGGAAGAGGAGUGAUGUUUCUGAGGAGGA